AACUGAUACUACCUGCGGGAACCUGCGGAAGGAUCAUUAACGAGUUUUGAAGUGGGAUUGAUGCUGGCCUUCCGAGGCAUGUGCUCGUCCUCGCUCAUCCACUCACAACACCUGUGCACUGUUGAGGUGUGGCCCCCCUUCAAUGGAGCCGUUCCCCCUUAGGGGGUCGAGCCGGGGUCAGGCCUUCUUCGUCACAAACAACUUGUAAUGUCUAUUCGGAAUGUAAUGCUUCAUGUUAAU
rnacentral:misc_RNA from 1 species